CCAUUGGCACUGGAGCCAAUUAUUCCAUUUAUUAUUGUACUAAUAAGGGGCUUCUUUCUAUUGUUAUAUGUUGUAUUACAGAUAUGUUAAAGGUGUUUAAGUGAAACCUGAUGCAACUAUCAGAGAUUACUGUGGGUAAAAAAACAGAAUGGGGCAUUGUGGCGUUCCACAGGGCGCUAUCAUAGAUCCUCUACUUUUCAUUUACUUUUAAAUUAUAUUCUUGUUUUUCAAAGCACAAAAUAUUUCCUCCUUCAUGAAGCUCAGCUUUUAAAAUUGUUUUAAGGCUUAAAGUUUGCAUAAUUAGAGGUGUGGCCUCUGAUUGACAGGGGACUCUAGCUGCUAACUGUUUACUAGCUUCAUUUGGAGCCUUUUGGAGGAUUUUUAAUUACAUCAUGUGGCCAAUAAUAUGGCUGCUGUGAGGUUACUGUACUAACAGACUGUCCAAGAAGAUGGAGCUCCAGGGUUGCUGAGUGAAAUCAAGGAUUUUAAUUGGAUAUUGUUCCACAGCUGGAGUCCACAGACACCUUCAAACAUCACUGUUAUCUCACUGCUGCUAAUGAGUCAGAACACUCAGUGAGAUUAGCACACUGAAGCCGGAUGCUUCACCUGAUCGCAUGCACAGGUCACAUGUCUGCCCAUUGACUGCUGAUUAAUCGGCUCAUUGUUGCAGCUCUCAUGUGCCUGUUCGGGGUCCUGCCCCUCGUGUUGGGAACCUCAGCAAUGCUCAUCAUCUCCUCUGUAACACACGUCGGAGCCUCCAAUGAUGGUCUUCUUCAUUAACCAACCAAUCAGCAGCCCUCAGACCUUGCCCUGCAGACACUGCUGUGCAGAAACGUCUGAUAUGUUUAAUUCUCCAGGUUUUAAAUAUCAUCAGCUGGAUUUAUUCAUCUGUUAAAUCUUCUCUAGCCAGCCAAAACAUAAAUUAAAACAGUGAAACCUGGACCAUAAAUCCAGACAAUUAUCAAAGAAAAGUGAAAAAUUUAAAAAUCUGGAACUCAAACUAAAAAUGUUUUUGCUUAAACUCUAUUUUCAUAAACUCAAAGAUUAAAUUUCUUGGAUGUGAU
ensembl:lncRNA